UUUUUGCUUUUCGAGUGUUGUAUUAUUUUGUUUGAGUUUUAGAAAACAUGUUAUUUGUGUUAGAUUUAAUGUGUCAAUUUCUGUUACAGAAUUCUGAAUUGUGCAUUUUUUUUUCCAUGUAAGAGUACUGGGAUGGAUGCUUGGGCGUUCUUCUCAUUCUCUUUUCCACUGCAGAUUAUAAGCUUAGAUGGGUCUGCUUGAAGAAGCUUUGUUAUAUUCAUAAUCAGCAGUUCAUUUUAGUUGCUUGCAGUUUUUCGGGGAUUCUUUUGGCAGAGGAGUUGAAGGGUUAGAAGCAUUUAGGUGAAGAAAAUGCUUUCUUUGAGUUACUUCUAUUUCAACUUUCUGUGAAAUUCCUUUUUCUUUUGACUGAAAACGCUCUGACCUUCUAAUGCA